rnacentral:tRNA from 1 species
CCGCCCUUAGCUCAGUUGGAUAGAGUGUCGGCCUCCGAAGCCGAAGGCCGCAAGUUCGAUUCUUGCAGGGCGGGCCA